GCGACUCCCAACCCGUGAGAACCUUACCGCAUCCUUUCUGAGAGAGAGCGCCCGUUGCCUCCUGCCGGGCGGCGUGCCCUCCUCCCCCCCCUCUGCGGGGGGGCGGACGGGCGCCCGCCCGCCGGGGGCGCGGCGCGGCCGCUCCCUCUCGCCGCGAACCUUCUUUGCAGUAUAUUUGUAUCGUCUGAGCAAACCACAGAAUCGUUAAAACUUUCAACAACGGAUCUCUUGGUUCUGGCAUCGAUGAAGAACGCAGCGAACUGCGAUAAGUAAUGCGAAUUGCAGAAUUCAGCGAGCCAUCGAAUCUUUGAACGCACAUUGCGCCCGCCAGCAUUCUGGCGGGCAUGCCUGUCCGAGCGUCAUUUCCUCCCUCACGCAGCGCGCCUGCGUGGUGUUGGGGCGUUCUGCGGUCAGGCCUGCGCCCAGCGCAGGCCGCCGCAGCCCCCGAAAGCCAGUGGCGGGCCGGCAGCGGGCUCCGAGCGCAGUAAGCAUCACGCCCUCGCUCUGGACGCCCCCGCCUGCGCCCUGCCCCCUAGACCGGCAGACGCGAGUCUGCCACCUUCUCAAGGUUGACCUCGGAUCAGGUAGGACUACCCGCUGAACUUAA
rnacentral:rRNA from 1 species